GGUGGUUUUGGGUAAAGCACCCUAGAAUUGGGCUCCCUCCUCUCUGGUUCUAGGUGCAUCACCUGAGAACCACA
rfam:Myotis davidii contig107189, whole genome shotgun sequence.